rnacentral:misc_RNA from 1 species
GAUGAAGAACGUAGUGAAAUGCGAUAAGUAAUGUGAAUUGCAGAAUUCAGUGAAUCAUCGAAUCUUUGAACGCACAUUGCGCCCGUCAGUAUUCUGGCGGGCAUGCCUGUUCGAGCGUCAUUACGCCCCUCAAGUCCCCUGUGGACUUGGUGUUGGGGAUCGGCGAGGCUGGUUUUCCAGCACAGCCGUCGCUUAAAUUAAUUGGCGGUCUCGCCGUGGCCCUCCUCUGCGCAGUAGUAAAACACUCGCAACAGGAGCCCGGCGCGGUCCACUGCCGUAAAACCCCCCAACUUUUUAUAGUUGACCUCGAAUCAGGUAGGACUACCCGCUGAACUUAAGCAUAUCAAUAAGCGGAGGA